AGCGAACGCUGGCGGCAGGCUUAACACAUGCAAGUCGAGCGGGCAUCCUUGUGGUGUCAGCGGCAGACGGGUGAGUAACGCGUGGGAACGUGCCCUUCGGUUCGGAAUAACUCAGGGAAACUUGAGCUAAUACCGGAUACGUGCGAGAGCAGAAAGGUUUAUCUGCCGAAGGAUCGGCCCGCGUCUGAUUAGCUAGUUGGUGAGGUUAUGGUUCACCAAGGCGACGAUCAGUAGCUGGUCUGAGAGGAUGAUCAGCCACACUGGGACUGAGACACGGCCCAGACUCCUACGGGAGGCAGCAGUGGGGAAUAUUGGACAAUGGGGGCAACCCUGAUCCAGCCAUGCCGCGUGAGUGAUGACGGCCUUAGGGUUGUAAAGCUCUUUUCUUCGGGACGAUAAUGACGGUACCGGAGGAAUAAGCCCCGGCUAACUUCGUG
rnacentral:rRNA from 1 species